rnacentral:lncRNA from 1 species
AAAAAAGCUCUGGUUGCAAGUUCCGGUCCUUGCAACUUCUGCUCUUCGCCAUCAUGUCUGCUGCAUUUCUGACACUAUUGUACACUCCAUCAGUGUAUGACCAUCAGAUGCAGUCUAGUUCUCGGUGAGUAGACCUAUCAAAAGGAAACUUGUUACAAUAUACUGGUGGCAGUAGAAUCAAUUCCUCUAGAAUCAUGGUGGUUAUGUUGGAGUAAUGUAUGACAAGAAACUGUAUACUCAUUUGCUCACACUAGUUCAUAUGCUUUACAGGUUUGUCAAUGUUGGGUGGAUAUGGGAGAAGACCAUCCCUGAUCCACGAUAUGUAUCUUCAGUUGGUUUUCAGUGGGAGGAUAUAUAUAAAACUGUUGAAAAUAUAAAUGGCGGUGACCAAAAGCUCAAAGUUGGACUCUUAAAUUUUAAUAGCACUGAAAUUGGCUCAUGGACACAAUUGCUCCCAGAAAGUGACUUUUCGAUAAUCAGGCUAGAGCAUGCUAAGGAAAGCAUAACAUGGCAGACUCUUUAUCCUGAAUGGAUUGAUGAGGAGGAAGAAACAGAGAUACCAUCGUGUCCAUCACUUCCAGAUCCUAAUUUUCCAAGAGGGACACAAUUUGAUGUUGUUGCCGUGAAACUUCCCUGUACCCGAGCAGGUGGGUGGUCAAGAGAUGUUGCACGCCUGCAUUUGCAACUAUCUGCAGCAAAAGUGGCAGUGACUGCUUCAAGAGGCAAUCGUGGUAUCCAUGUUCUGUUUGUGACUGAUUGCUUCCCUAUUCCAAAUCUCUUCUCUUGUAAGAACCUUGUGAAACACGAAGGCAACGCGUGGAUGUACAAGCCUGACUUGAAGGCACUUAGGGAGAAGCUCAGACUUCCAGUUGGAUCCUGUGAACUUGCUGUUCCACUAAAAGCAAAAGGUAUGGCGAUUACUGCCAGCAUUUUUAUUAGCUUCCCAUCUAAUGACACUUGGUUUAAAUACCGAUGUUGCUGCAUUUCUUUUUGCAUGAUAACUUAAUUCUGCAAUAUGAAAGCAAGAGUAUUUGCUUUAACAGAGAUAUCUUAAUGGUUUUUGUCUGAUAAUGUUAGAAUAUACUUUUGCGCCUUCUAGAUUUUUUUUCCGCAUGACAUCGAUAUUUACAGUAGAUAACAUUUUUGAUCUCCUUUACAGCACGACUUUACUCGGUAGACAGACGGAGAGAAGCAUAUGCUACAAUUCUGCAUUCAGCAAGUGAAUACGUCUGUGGUGCAAUCACAGCUGCCCAAAGCAUUCGCCAAGCAGGAUCAACUAGGGACUUUGUUAUUCUUGUUGAUGAUACCAUAAGUGAUCACCACCGAAAGGGCUUGGAAGCUGCUGGGUGGAAGGUCAGAAUAAUACAAAGGAUCAGGAAUCCGAAAGCUGAGCGUGAUGCAUAUAAUGAAUGGAACUACAGCAAAUUCCGUCUAUGGCAGCUCACAGAUUAUGACAAAAUUAUAUUUAUUGAUGCUGAUCUCCUCAUUCUGAGAAAUGUAGAUUUUCUGUUUGCAAUGCCAGAAAUCACCGCUACUGGCAACAAUGCAACACUGUUCAACUCUGGAGUAAUGGUUAUUGAGCCUUCAAACUGCACAUUCCAGUUGUUGAUGGAGCACAUCAAUGAGAUAACAUCUUACAAUGGCGGUGAUCAAGGGUACCUGAAUGAGAUAUUCACAUGGUGGCAUCGAAUUCCGAAGCACAUGAACUUCUUAAAACAUUUCUGGGAGGGGGAUGAAGAGGAAGUGAAGGUGAAGAAGACAAGGCUGUUUGGUGCUGACCCACCAAUCCUCUAUGUCCUUCACUAUCUGGGUCUCAAACCCUGGCUGUGCUUCCGGGAUUACGACUGUAACUGGAAUGUGGAGAUACUGCGUGAGUUUGCCAGUGAUGUUGCGCAUGCCCGUUGGUGGAAGGUACAUGACAAGAUGCCAAAGAAACUUCAGCACUAUUGUCUUUUGAGAUCAAGGCAAAAGGCUGGGUUGGAGUGGGAUCGGAGGCAGGCCGAGAAAGCAAAUUUCACUGAUGGACAUUGGAGGCGGAACAUAACUGAUCCUAGGUUGAAAACUUGCUUUGAGAAGUUCUGCUUCUGGGAGAGCAUGUUAUGGCACUGGGGUGAGGCCAAGAACUCAACGAACGAAAACCCGGUGCCAGCGACACCUACUGCGAGCCUCUCAAGCUCAUGAGAUGUGUAGAUAGCCCUAUACCAGAUACAAACUUCUAAGCUCCAUACAUACAUAGCAACAGCUUGUAAAGGUAGCUAUGCUUAGGUUUUUCGACAAAACUAUACCUUGUGUUUGCUGUCAUGGCUACAGCUCUGCUUUGAUGGCUCACAUUUUUUUGGUUUUUUGGCCAAUAAUUCAUGAGUAUAGGUAAAUUUUCUGUUCAAGAAUUGUUUGGUCGGUUCGGGGUUGGUUGUUGCUCAGCUGCAAUAACCAAGUUUGAUGUAUGGGUUGUUGAACUGUUUCAGUGAUCAAAUCUGGAGUGAUGCAACAUGAGAUUGCUGACCAGCAAACACUGCCAAACACUGCUUCCUUUUGACAUGAAUAUUGUAUUGCUGUACUUGAGUUGGAUUAGAGCCACUGCUGAUCGCUGGGGCAGCUGGGGGCCAUUUCAUACUGGUAGUUCCUGAAGCACCUGGUAUUGUAUUUAUGCUUACUCAUUUACUCAUACUUGAGUUAAGAGUAGUGCGUCCUGUAUUGCACAUAGCAAUUGCGGAGAUUGCAAUCAACGACUGCAUUCAAAACUCAAGUGAUGAGCCCCCAUUUCGUGGGCCCCCAUGCAUGCACAGGCAGAUGCAGUACUCCAGUUACUCACCUAACAAUGCAGCAUUGAAAUGCCCUGCUCCUCACUGCAGGUAUAGAACAUGGGCACACCCAGAUUUCUGAAAGAGAUCUGGUAGCGAUGCAAUGCCAUGCCAUGCUGCCAAAGAAGAAGAACAUCAUCAUUUCCCAGUAUCAAUUAUUUAGUCAUGCUUCCGUUCCCUUCGAGAUGCAGCCUUUCGGGGGUGCUCAGCUCAGCAUGCUGCCCUUUUCCAACGGCAACGCACCGACUAAAGCAUGAGUGUGAGGGCAUUUUUAACCCAUAACACACAUAAUUUUUAUAAACUCUACAUUAUCACAAAAUUAGUACUAGACACCACUCUUUCAAUAUAAAUACCACUAUCCAUACUUCAAUUUAAUACUAUUUAUCUCAUAUGAUAUUUUAAAUAUUAUGUAGAAACCAUGUCUUGUAUAGACAUGCUUUUAUUCUCUUUCCUUAUAUAUUCACUUGCCACAUCAUUUUUUAUCAUAUAUGAUAACUUAAUUAAUAUUAUGGAUACCAUUCUAACCAUUGGGUUGAGAAUGCCCUUAGGCUGUACAAGUUCAAGCGGCAUUCUUUGCCAAAGAUACUAAUCUCCUUGUAGUACUUCCCUUGUCCUUCAAGAUGGGAGUAGUUGGAGGAUUGCAUCACAAGUGAUUGACUAGUUUAGUUCUCAAGAACUAGUGGUAGUAUGAUGCAUUUACGCAUCUAGAUCUGAACAUUCUACCGGUGCUUCACUUGCACAUAGGUAGUACUGUUCACCCACGCGCUUAUCAUUUGGAGCCAGUACAAACUGUUUACUAUUGUAAAUUUCUAGUUUUGUUAUUUUCAUGGAUAUAUAUAAUGUGUAUGUAUACUUAGAUAGUAUUAAUAAAAAUCUAGAUAAAACUAAAAAAAUCAUAAAAUUGUGAAACUGAAAAGUCUCAGGCAACUUUGGUUUGCAGUAACAGCCAUGGGAUGAACAGGCAACUUUGGUGUGCUGUAACAGCCAUGGGAUGAACACGAGGAAAAUGUGAAUUGCGCGAGUACGAAUAGCUAAAUCUCUACAGGCCUAUAGCUGAAUUUUGGUGUACUAGUGUUGAAUUGAGGCGUUGUUUAUGAGAUCAAGCUGGACUAGUUUACGAGCAUAAACAAAUUCCCCAUUGGGUCGAGACAUUUCACGCGAAUCUCGUGGAAAUCCUACCAACUGAGCCGUCCAAAGAGGAGAGGUUUCAGGAAGAGAGAGAGAGAGAGGCGUACACACGUGGUGGUGGCGUUGGAGUCCGGGUGUCCGCUGUCCGGCGAGCACGAGAGUGGCGCGUCCAUCGAGUGUCAUCUUCCUCCGUGCCGCCCUGCGCCACAGCACCCACCACCAUCAGGGCAAAAGCGAGCGGUCGUCGCGCCGCGCAUGGCAUGGACCGACUCGGUGGUGCCUGCCCGCUGCCCUAGGCAGGGAGGGACCUCCGGCGACACGCGUCCUCGCGGUCGUACCUGUGCCAGGAGAGACGCCAGCUUUUAGCGGUUUGACCGGGUAAAGAGGAACCAAACCAAAAGGCCGAAGAAGAGAGAGAGAUUGCCUACCGUUUCUGUGCUCACUCGUCCAUGGCGUUCGCCGACGCGACGCGGCAAGCCGGCAAACUCCGGGAGGGCCUCACUCUGGCACGGAAGAAGGAUAACGAGGGAUGCCGCGGUGGUUUCGGUUUGGUUAGCCUCUCGUUUGCGUGGUCACGUCGCGGUCGCGGUGUGCCAGGCCGGUGGCAGCGGCGGCGGCGGCGGCGGCCCGCGCUCGGUGCGGACCGUGGCUCUGCACGGUCAACACGCGUGGGCCGAACGUAUCCGGGCUUUGCAGUAGCCCACUAGUUACUGUGUUCUGUGGCAUUUGAGAGGACGGCCCACACCAACAACUAAAAAGCCGAUCCGAACGUUUGACACAAAAGUGAUGUGCCGUUACGUUGGGCUUGAAAACUUGAAGGCCGAAACUCAAGGCCGCCCAAAAGGCCGGCCUCUCUGAACAUGAUGACCGGAUACCAUGGGCCCGUCAAACCUGCGUCACAGUUUACUGGCCAUAUUCAGUCAGCAAUUAGCGUCGACGAUUUCUCCUAUAAGAACAAGGCUAAUAAUAUAGCCAAGAAACCGUCUAUAAAACUUCGUGUAGCUUUUUAUUAGCGCAUUCAUAUAUUAGUCAGUCUUUAUCAUUAAUGCAAGACUCAAUUGUCUCUAUGAAAGUUUUUUGGUUUUUGUGUCCGAGCUGGCUAUAGACCGUGUCUCAUCU